GAUGAACGCUGGCGGCGUGCCUAAUACAUGCAAGUCGAGCGAACAGACGAGGAGCUUGCUCCUCUGACGUUAGCGGCGGACGGGUGAGUAACACGUGGAUAACCUACCUAUAAGACUGGGAUAACUUCGGGAAACCGGAGCUAAUACCGGAUAAUAUAUUGAACCGCAUGGUUCAAUAGUGAAAGACGGUUUUGCUGUCACUUAUAGAUGGAUCCGCGCCGCAUUAGCUAGUUGGUAAGGUAACGGCUUACCAAGGCAACGAUGCGUAGCCGACCUGAGAGGGGGAGCGGCCACACUGGAACGGAGACACGGUCCAGACUCCUACGGGAGGCAGCAGAAGGGAAUCGUCCGCAAUGGGCGAAAGCCUGACGGAGCAACGCCGCGUGAGGGAUGAAGGUCUUCGGAUCGUAAAACUCUGUUAUUAGGGAAGAACAAAUGUGUAAGUAACUAUGCACGUCUUGACGGUACCUAAUCAGAAAGCCACGGCUAACUACGUG
rnacentral:rRNA from 1 species